CAGUCGCCACGGUAAUACGAAGGGGGCUAGCGUUGCUCGGAAUGACUGGGCGUAAAGGGCGCGUAGGCGGUUUGUACAGUUGGAUGUGAAAUUCCUGGGCUUAACCUGGGGGCUGCAUUCAAUACGUGCAAGCUUGAGUGUGGAAGAGGGUUGUGGAAUUCCCAGUGUAGAGGUGAAAUUCGUAGAUAUUGGGAAGAACACCGGUGGCGAAGGCGGCGACCUGGUCCAUUACUGACGCUGAGGCGCGAAAGCGUGGGGAGCAAACAGGAUUAGAUACCCCAGUAGUCCCUGUCUCUUAUAC
rnacentral:rRNA from 1 species